rnacentral:lncRNA from 12 species
UGGAGACCAGUGAAUUCUCAUUUCUUUGAAUGUCCAGGCCUGUUUUAUCAGCCUGAUGAACACAGUCACUACCCUGGAUAUGGCUGGGGAUGUGUACGAGCAGAAGAAACCUCACCAGGACGUCCUCAUGUCCUCAGCAAGAGACUUGUGGCGUUCCCCAGGUGAAAAACCACCCCUGCUCCCAGGGCCAGGCACCCCAGACUGAGAGGAAAGGAAUAAAAUAAAAUAAAAUAAAAUAAAAUAAAAUAAAAUAAAAUAAAAUAAAAUAAAAUAAAAUAAA